rnacentral:tmRNA from 1 species
GGGGGCGAACUUGGUUUCGACGGGGAUACGGAAUCAGGAGUAGCGAGUCGUUGUCGCCAAGCAACGUUAAAAGUGGCAACUAAAUUAAACGCAAACGAUAAUUACGCACUAGCAGCUUAAUAUAGCUGCUCGAUUCUGCCGGGAUUCCCACGACCUGGAUAGAAUCGUCAUCUAAGUGGGGAACCGAGUCCGGCAAAGCUUUGAGCUGGAAACGGAACCUAUGAAGCUACUAAAGCCCAUAUCCUGUCAGCAGGAGAUGGGUAGAGGGAAUGUGAAAUUGCUGACUGCACUCGGAGAAGCUCUUGUGGAAGGAUUUUCGGACGUGGGUUCGACACCCACCGCCUCCACCA